CUGGCUGAAACCAAGCUUGCUAGGCUAGGAUCAGUGGCGAACGGGUGNGUAACACGUGAGCAACCUGCCCUGGACUCUGGGAUAAGCGCUGGAAACGGCGUCUAAUACUGGAUAUGAGCUCUCAUCGCAUGGUGGGGGUUGGAAAGAUUUUUUGGUCUGGGAUGGGCUCGCGGCCUAUCAGCUUGUUGGUGAGGUAAUGGCUCACCAAGGCGUCGACGGGUAGCCGGCCUGAGAGGGUGACCGGCCACACUGGGACUGAGACACGGCCCAGACUCCUACGGGAGGCAGCAGUGGGGAAUAUUGCACAAUGGGCGGAAGCCUGAUGCAGCAACGCCGCGUGAGGGAUGACGGCCUUCGGGUUGUAAACCUCUUUUAGCAGGGAAGAAGCGAGAGUGACGGUACCUGCAGAAAAAGCGCCGGCUAACUACGUGCCACCAGCCGCGGUAAUACGGGGGCGCAAGCGUUAUCCGGAAUUAUUGUGCGUAAAGAG
rnacentral:rRNA from 1 species